GUCGAGCGAGAAAGCCCUUCGGGGUGAGUACAGCGGCGGACGGGUGAGUAACGCGUAGGAAUCUACCCAGUGGUGGGGGACAACAUGGGGAAACCCAUGCUAAUACCGCAUACGCCCUACGGGGGAAAGCGGGGGACCUUCGGGCCUCGCGCCAUUGGAUGAGCCUGCGUCGGAUUAGCUAGUUGGUGGGGUAAGAGCCUACCAAGGCGACGAUCCGUAGCUGGUCUGAGAGGAUGAUCAGCCACACUGGGACUGAGACACGGCCCAGACUCCUACGGGAGGCAGCAGUGGGGAAUAUUGCGCAAUGGGGGCAACCCUGACGCAGCCAUGCCGCGUGUGUGAAGAAGGCCCUAGGGUUGUAAAGCACUUUCAAUUGGGAGGAAAAGCUUGUCGUUAAUAGCGGCAAGCCGUGACGUUACCUUUAGAAGAAGCACCGGCUAACUCCGUGCCAGCAGCCGCGGUAAUACGGAGGGUGCGAGCGUUAAUCGGAAUUACUGGGCGUAAAGCGCGCGUAGGCGGUUAUUUAAGUCGGAUGUGAAAGCCCCGGGCUCAACCUGGGAACUGCAUCCGAUACUGGGUAACUAGAGUACGAGAGAGGGAGGUAGAAUUCCACGUGUAGCGGUGAAAUGCGUAGAUAUGUGGAGGAAUACCGGUGGCGAAGGCGGCCUCCUGGCUCGAUACUGACGCUGAG
rnacentral:rRNA from 1 species